GCUUGGAUGGCUCAGUUGGUUAGAGCGCAGGUCUCAUACAGUCGUAUGACCAUCUUCGGAUGGGCAAUCCUGAGGUCGUGAGUUCGAUCCUCACUCCGAGCA